AGUGAACGCUGGCGGUAGGCCUAACACAUGCCAGUCGAACGGCAGCACAGUAAGAGCUUGCUCUUACGGGUGGCGAGUGGCGGACGGGUGAGGAAUACAUCGGAAUCUACUUUUUCGUGGGGGAUAACGUAGGGAAACUUACGCUAAUACCGCAUACGACCUACGGGUGAAAGCAGGGGAUCUUCGGACCUUGCGCGAUUGAAUGAGCCGAUGUCGGAUUAGCUAGUUGGCGGGGAAAAGGCCCACCAAGGCGACGAUCCGUAGCUGGUCUGAGAGGAUGAUCAGCCACACUGGAACUGAGACACGGUCCAGACUCCUACGGGAGGCAGCAGUGGGGAAUAUUGGACAAUGGGCGCAAGCCUGAUCCAGCCAUACCGCGUGGGUGAAGAAGGCCUUCGGGUUGUAAAGCCCUUUUGUUGGGAAAGAAAAGCAGCAGGUUAAUACCCCGCUGUUCUGACGGUACCCAAAGAAUAAGCACCGGCUAACUUCGU
rnacentral:rRNA from 1 species